AGGCAACACUAAUUACAUAAAAUGUAUAUAUUGAUAUGAGCUUACGCUACAAAUCUACCUAUGAAUUUUUUUUUUCAUCCUCCAAGGUCUCCAAGGUAAACUUGGUGUUAACCGUUGAUGUUAGCAUGAGCAACAUCUCUAAAUAUGUUCAAAACAUCAACUGUCUUACUCAUGAACAGUAAUAAAAAUGCCCCUGUCAUUCAUUCUCUCUUUUUCUACGUUCUUUUGAAAUAUUUCUGCCCAUGGUCUCUUGCAACCACGCCUUGAAAUAAUGAGGCCAUAGUAUCAAAAGUGUGAAACCUCUGUCUUUGUUUCUCUUUGUCUCCCUCUUGCUGUCUCUUCCUCGUUUUUGCUUUGUUUGUAGGCUGUACAUUUUUUUUUAUUAUUCUGUGGUGUUAUUGUUGUCACUGGCAGCCAACUCAGGGAGCUGAGAAAGGCCAAACAACGGUUUUGAAAAGGUUUCUGAAAGUGCUUCUUGAAAACGUCAGCCCAGGCCCUUAUCUGCCUUAUACCACCAAACAACACUGGCACUUGUCAGUGCUUCAUUCUUCACCCUAACAUGCAACACAACCUGCCAGUGGUACCUUUCAUUUCUGUCUUAUUUUGUUUUCCUUCCCUCUUUCUUGCUCUUACAUCUUGCUCAUGUUCUCCAGACUACCCCCCACACACACACACACCCACCUCCCCUCCCUUGGGUAUUUAGACCCUUUUUUGGCGUCACCCAUUCUCUUCUAUUUUACCCUCUAUUCUAUUGUCUUGGACCGUUAUUUCUGUUUUUCUGUUCUUUAUUUAUCGCCUUUAUUUCCUUUUUUGUUUCUCCCAUCUCUCUUUUCUGGCCUCAGUUUUAUUACCUUAAUGUUUGCCAUGUAUCAUACUUUACUUUUUUUUUUCUUAGCACUUGUGUCCUGGUAUCAUGCACAAAACAGGCAAAACUACUGAUAUUAAAAAAUAGAAUAGAAUAGAAUAGAAUAGAAUAGAAUAACCCUGUGUUGUCAUUGUACACGUACAACAAAAUUGUGGAAUUAUGUAUACAUCAGAAAUAGAUACAGCUUUGUUUGUUUGUCCCUGAAGUGCAACCUGAAACUACUUCUCAUCAAGUCUGCCAAGAUUUGGGAACUGACAGUCCUUACACAGCUUGUUCCUGACAGAUGGGUGGCAUUUUGAAGUGGGGAAGCCAUAGGAUCCCUUAGUCAACUCUACUAAUCAUCAAUAAAACAUAUUUUGGUGCGGGGAAAAAGAGUGAGAGUUCAGUAACCGUUAGACGUGUAUUGUGUGCGUGGCUAAAAUGAAAACAGGCUAAUCUAACAGUUUAUUUCAGUCCUAAUUGUAACCAGAGUGAAAUUAAGAUGUCCACAGUCAGUGUCUUUUGCACAUAUUCUAACUUAUGCUGGGGUUUAAAAGAUUGACUUUAGUAAUCAGACCAUGUUUGUUUUCCUUUCUGUAAAUAUCCACCACCUUUAAUGGAAUACAAAAGAGAAAAAUAAAGAGAUCACAGGUUUUGACCUGCAG
ensembl:lncRNA